rnacentral:rRNA from 1 species
AUUGAACGCUGGCGGCAGGCCUAACACAUGCAAGUCGAACGGUAACAGGAAGAAGCUUGCUUCUUUGCUGACGAGUGGCGGACGGGUGAGUAAUGUCUGGGAAACUGCCUGAUGGAGGGGGAUAACUACUGGAAACGGUAGCUAAUACCGCAUAACGUCGCAAGACCAAAGAGGGGGACCUUCGGGCCUCUUGCCAUCGGAUGUGCCCAGAUGGGAUUAGCUAGUAGGUGGGGUAACGGCUCACCUAGGCGACGAUCCCUCGCUGGUCUGAGAGGAUGACCAGCCACACUGGAACUGAGACACGGUCCAGACUCCUACGGGAGGCAGCAGUGGGGAAUAUUGCACAAUGGGCGCAAGCCUGAUGCAGCCAUGCCGCGUGUAUGAAGAAGGCCUUCGGGUUGUAAAGUCCUUUCCGCGGGGAGGAAGGGAGUAAAGUUAAUACCUUUGCUCAUUGACGUUCCCCGCAGAAGACGCCCCGGCUAACUCCG